UGAUCGUGACUGAAUGAUGAGAAUAACUAUUCUAUUGUAAAUAAGAAAUGAAAUUCGCUUUUCGUUCUCUUGGAAGUAUAAGCAUGUCGCUUUUACGAAUGUUCACGAGUCUCUAAUCCUUUCGGUAUACUGUAAACAAUCUAGUAUGUAACGUUUCAUCCACCAUUUUCAAGUUUUAGAAUUAGAAAACCAGUAAUACAGGAAAUAUAAGAUGAUACUUUUUUCUAAAACAAAUAAAUAUGAAAAAUCGACCUUGAUGUAAAACGAGAACCUCUUUUAAACAAUGCGAUUUCCCAAUAUCCUAGU